ACUGCUCUUAUAAAUGCAUGAUAAAUAUUUACCAUCAAAUAUAGGUAUCAUAAUAUUGCUUUACCCAUUACCUUAUUUACAUUAAUGAUAUAAACAGAUUUACUGUUAUUGUAAUAUUUCCACAGGAGUGUUGGAGGCAGCGAUGUGCCCAAUGAUACUGCUCAUCAAACUCUGAAGUCUCUGCUUGUUUUGGCUGACAGAUAAAUCUUUGAAAUCAUCCCUAAGAUUGGCAACAGCCAGAACAAUAGUGCCUGAAAUUCCCGAGCUGGAUAAGGAAAAGCGGUGGCAGAAAAGUAGGCAGUAGUGUUGAGCAGAGAGUACAUCAUUCACCUGUCAACUGUCAAUCUGCAAUAGUGAACGGUGUUUUUAUGGUGAAGAUGUGCAGCCCAACCACAGGCUAACAUAACCCACCCACAGUCUGUCACCGCUUAUCACAACCCACCAACAGCCAAUAAAAAUCCUAGCUGAGGGGUGACCAGCUGGCUGAGUCAAGUGGAGGCCUGCGAGGGGCCUUCGUCACAACCAAUCACAGAACGUUCGGCAUCGAUGUGACAUUUGGGGCGGUUCUGCCGCAGCAUGCUGCGGUGGUGGGCGGCAGCCACGCGGCACCGCGCGGCAAAACCACCCAGUGUGACACCUCCAAUUGGUUUGUGUGUGUUAUCGUAAAAGCGGCGAAACCGCUUGGCAAAACCACCUAGUGUGACACCGGCCUAAGGAUUAAUAGGAUAUUCGAUGGUCUGUAGGUGGAUGUAUACCAUGAGAAAAUCAUAGAAUCCUGCUCAAUCAACCUCCAUGGUUUGGUAUCAGUGAUGUCAUAAAUUUCUCUAAUUUGUAAUAAUAUUGUUUAUCUUGUCUCAUAGUAAACACAUUUAGUAGAUAAUUUGUGGCGCCACAUUUGGUAGUCAAUAUUGGAACCUGCCUGAGCAAAGUGUAAGUAUCACCUGUAUGAGUUCUGAUACAUGUCUCACUGUCUCAGUCUGCACCAAGCUGAUAUCUGAUAUUAUUUUUAUAUUUUUAAUGUAAUUUUUUAGGUUUACAGAGUUUUA